rnacentral:rRNA from 1 species
AAUGAACGCUGGCGGCAGGCUUAACACAUGCAAGUCGAGCGGAGCGGCGGACGGGUGAGUAAUACCUAGGAAUCUGCCUGGUAGCGGGGGAUAACGUUCGGAAACGGACGCUAAUACCGCAUACUUUCAGACGAGCCUAGGUCGGAUUAGCUAGUUGGUGAGGUAAUGGCUUACCAAGGCUACGAUCCGUAACUGGUCUGAGAGGAUGAUCAGUCACAAUGGAACUGAGACACGGUCCGGACACCUACGGGAGGCAGCAGUGGGGAAUGUUGGGCAAUGGGCGGAAGCCUGAUGAAGAGACGCCGCGUGGGAAAUGAAGGCCUGCGGGUUGUAAACUCCUUUCGACAGGGACGCGGUACCUGUAUAAGAAGCCCCGGCUAACUACGUGCCAGCAGCCGCGGUAAUUC